UACAGAGGUCUCAAGCGUUGUUCGGAUUCAUUGGGCGUAAAGGGUGCGCAGGCGGCGAGGCAAGUCGGACGUGAAAUCUCGGGGCUUAACCCCGAAACUGCGUUCGAUACUGCCUUGCUUGAGGACUGGAGAGGAGACUGGAAUUCCUGGUGGAGCGGUGAAAUGCGUAGAUAUCGCUUGGAACGCCAAUGGUGAAAACAGCUUGCUGGGGGUGUGCUGACGCUGAGACACGAAAGCCAGGGGAGCAAACGGG
rnacentral:rRNA from 1 species